rnacentral:lncRNA from 1 species
UUUUUAUCAAAUUUAGAACUUUUAGUGUCGGGGUUACUAUUCACGUAUACGGCACUAUUCACGUAUACGGUACUAUUCACGAAUACGGCACUAUUCAUCAAAAAAUAAAAAAUUUUCUUUUCGUCCAAAAUAUCUAUUCUGGAUACUAGCUUUGAUUGUAUCCAUGUUUUGAUCAUUCUUGAAUUUUACACCACUAUGAUUAUUUUUGAGGUAUUUUUGGACGUGGAUAAAACAAAGUACGAAUCCUUAAUCCUUAAUCCUUGUCAUUUUGUUUCACUGGAUUCGUUUCUUUAAAAAUAUUUUUCAUCAUCCUCAGUCUUAAAUGAUGAUAUUAUUGAAUA